ensembl:lncRNA
CUGACCUGAAGAGCUAUAAUUCUUGUUCCAGUUAUACUACUUCAAGCUCUAGUCCAGGCAUUUGGUGGGCAGCAGCCUAGCCAUCCUCUGGGAGCUUGUUAGAGGGGAAGAAUCCCAGGCCCACCCCAGACCUCCUGAAUGAGAAGCUGCAUUCAAACAAGAUAGCAAGUGAUAAUUUUGUUUGCAUAUUACAGUGGGUUCCACUGCCCAAAUUACUGUGGCCUUCUCCCCAAAGUCUUCAGAAUACAUACUUAACUUCACUGGGACUGGUCAACAUUGUUUUCUUGUGCCAUCUUUCAUUUUCUGUACCGAAGUGAGAAGGUGACAAUCAGUUAUGCAGAGUAUAUUGCUUCUCGACAACAUUGUUUCCAGAAUGGCACUCUUCAUGCCCUGCCCCUCUACAAUCAUUACUCCAGAGACAAGGCUGCAUGACCAGUCCCACCCCCCUGUAGCCACCAAUGGCUAUGACAUCAUUGGAGCAGAUCUCUCCUCUUCCUGGCCCAGUUACUUCUAUUACUGCACCAUUUUAUGAUGCUAGCUUCCAUUGCCAAGGCUGCCUCCCACUGACUGAGGGAGUGUGGGGUUACACUGAAUGAAGCAGAACUUGAGGGGCCCAAGCCUUAUCUCAGCCUUUCCUCAGUAUGAGGUUCCACUGGACGGGGCUUCUCCAUGACUAGUGAGAAUCGCUGUGUGGGUGCUGAAGACCCUGGUCUGGUGAUUUGGCACGUGUGGUGGCCACACACUGGAAUUAGAGUUGAUGAUCCAUGGAGGUUUGAAAACUGAGGCUCAGAAAGAGGGGCGUGUUCCUCAGAGUCUCAGCUAGUUAGCAUCAGAAUGAGCUAUAGAGUGAAGGGCUUCCCUUCCACAUGGCCUUUCCCAUGCACUCUUCUGGAGCAGCACUUAGUUUGACAACAAAUCCCAAGGGUCUAGUCGGGGAUUCAAGCAGUAUCUGGGGCUGCUUUUGUAGUGAUGCAAAUCAGAUCCAUUGUGAGCUCUGCCUUGGGUCUCCUCAAGUUUGAAGUUCGGUUCUGCCAUUACUAGCUUUGGAAUGUUGGGCAAGGUACUUAAUCUCCCUACAUCAAAUGAAGAUUGGACAUGCCAACUCACAGGGGUGCUGUGAGAAUUACACAAGAUAAUGUGUAUGCAUUGUUUUCAAAAAAAAUAAUUAUGUAAUCUGUUGAGAAGUUUCUGUUCUACUUCUAGUCUCCUGAUAGCUUUUACCAUGAACAGCUGUAGAAUUUGGUCCAAUAUUUUUCUCCAACUAGUGACAGGAUCAUAUGGCUUUUUCCUUUCCUCUGUUAAAAUGAUGACUUUUGGGGGUGGAUCUUCCAAUGCUGAACCAACACUGCCAUCCCUAUAACAAAACUACUUUCUACAUUCUGCCAGAUCUGACUUCCAAUAGUUUGUUUUGUUAAACAAAUUUCUAUCUAUGUUCAUACUUUUUUCUUCUAUUAUCUUUACCCAAUUUUAGGAUUAGCACAAUGUUAAGUUCCUAAAAUGAGGGGAGAAGUGUUCCUUCUUUUUUCUGCUUUAAUUGUUUGAUAUAAUUUAUCAGUUAAAAUGUUUAUGAGCCUGCUGUUGUCAUAUAGGUAGGUUUUCAAGCUAGGAAUAUACUUUCUUUAAUAGGUGCUAUUCAAAUUUUAUAUUUCCUCCAGAGUUAGUUUCAUUAAUUUGUCUUCCAAGGUACUUCAUAGAAGUUUUCAAAUUUAUUUCAAAACAGAUUUUUGUAAUAUGCUUUCUAUAUCCUUUUAAAUUCUGUAAAAUCUGUGGUAAUGUCUCCUAGAUCUUGAUAUUGUAAUUAAAAAAAUGUGUAACUGAUACUGUGUAACAAGAAGAAAAGGUCUAAAAGAGCAGGGGAAUUGGGAGGGGUAGGGGAAGGGAAAAAAAAGGAAAGGAAAAAAUAUAAGAGGAAAAAAAUGGAAACAAGGUCUUUGCAAAUAGG